UAUUAUUACUUUGGCAGAUUAGUGCAAUAAAUUUAGAAUUUAUAUAUGUAAUUUUUUACAGGUAAUA
rnacentral:tRNA from 1 species